GCAGGUGAGCGGCGGGGCACGGGCCGACGUCUCGGGCUCUGGGCGGGCGCGCUGACCUUGCGGGCGCGGCGGUAGCAGCGCGGCCAGGGCGCCGCCUUUGUUCCUCUCCGGAGGGCCGCGCCCGAGAGAGGCUUCGCCGGUGCCGCCGACUCCGGAACCCGCGCGCCCGCGGGAGGGGACAGCCAGGCCGGGCUGCCGCCGGGGAGGGCGGCUCCCGCUGCACACGCGCUCGCCUGGGGCUAGGCAGGGUUCGGCGGUCCGGGCGCCGCGAUCCGCCCCGGCCUCCCUGGAACCCCACCCGGGGCCCAGCGGGCGUUGCCAGCCGCGAGCCCGGCGCAGGGGUCGACCCUGGAAGGCUAGGCGGGAACCCCGGAGCUGGCGAGGGAGGUGCCAGGCAGGUGGCCUGGAAAGCGCAGACCUGGCCCUCGCAGCCUUUUGCAUUUUAUACCAUAACAGCGGCCAGCGCUGAGCAGGUUUUAAGAUUUGUGUUUCACGAGGAGCCCUGGCGGUAGCGAGCGGAGGGGAGGGCGAGCUGCGCGGCCCAGGAGAUGGUGGCGGGAGGAGGAUGCAGGCGGGUGCGGCGGUCGGGCCGGGCGUGAGGGGAAGGUGUCGGGGAGCGGUCACGGUGCUUCUGGCAUGAGGAACUGGGAGGCCGGAGAUGCCAUUUGUCAAACCGGACGACAGAGCAGGAGCGAGUGGAGGUUUUAGAUGCCUGCGGGACAGGCGGGCGGGGCAGCCAGAUUCUUUCCACCAUGGCCAGACGCCCCCGGAACAGCAGGGCCUGGCACUUCGUCCUGAGUGCAGCCCGCCGAGACGCAGAUGCCCGGGCCGUGGCUCUAGCAGGCUCCACUAACUGGGGCUACGACUCUGAUGGGCAGCACAGCGACUCGGACUCCGACCCCGAGUACUCCACGCUGCCGCCAUCCAUCCCCAGUGCAGUGCCCGUGACCGGCGAGUCCUUCUGUGACUGUGCUGGGCAGAGCGAGGCCUCCUUCUGUAGCAGCCUGCACUCGGCCCACCGGGGCAAGGACUGCCGCUGUGGAGAGGAAGACGAGUGUGAGCGUGGGGCCCAGCCCCUGCUGGGACUGCACUGCGGGCGGGCCUGGGGGCGGGCAGGGCAGAGCCCCAUGGAGCUCUCAGGGCUGCCCCAGCCUGGGCCUCUCUUGCAGAUUUCGACUGGGUCUGGGAUGACUUGAAUAAGUCAUCAGCCACCCUGCUGAGCUGUGACAACCGUAAGGUCAGCUUCCACAUGGAGUACAGCUGCGGCACAGCGGCCAUCCGGGGCACCAAGGAGCUGGGGGAGGGCCAGCACUUCUGGGAGAUCAAGAUGACCUCUCCCGUCUACGGCACCGACAUGAUGGUGGGCAUCGGGACGUCGGAUGUGGACCUGGACAAAUACCGCCACACGUUCUGCAGCCUGCUGGGCAGGGAUGAGGACAGCUGGGGCCUCUCCUACACGGGUGCGUGAGGCCCAGGGUGGGGCGGGGCCGAGCCUGGAGCUCCCGGGCUCACUGCGACCCUGGCUGCCCCCAGGCCUCCUCCACCACAAGGGCGACAAGACCAGCUUCUCGUCGCGGUUCGGCCAGGGCUCCAUCAUUGGCGUGCACCUGGACACCUGGCAUGGCACGCUCACCUUUUUCAAGAACAGGAAGUGUAUAGGUGUGGCAGCCACCAAGCUGCAGAACAAGAGGUUCUACCCGAUGGUGUGCUCCACGGCGGCCCGGAGCAGCAUGAAGGUCACCCGCUCCUGCGCCAGCGCCACCUCCCUCCAGUACCUGUGCUGCCACCGCCUGCGCCAGCUGCGGCCAGACUCGGGAGACACGCUGGAGGGUCUGCCGCUGCCGCCGGGCCUCAAGCAGGUGCUACACAACAAGCUGGGCUGGGUCCUGAGCAUGAGCUGCAGCCGCCGCAAGGCUCCAGCGUCCGAUCCCCAGGCAGCGACCUCGGCCCACCCCAGCAGUCGCGAGCCUCGGCCCUGCCAGAGGAAGCGCUGCCGCCGGAUCUGACUGACUGCCCCAGUGGAACUGCCUUCUUGGGCUAGGACAGCCCCUUUCCUCCGUCCCUUCUUUCUCUGUCCCUUCCUUCCAGCCACACUCCAGGGCGGAGUUGGAUGAGGCCCGUCCGGAGGGAGCCAUCUCUUGCUCCCGAGGCUGGGACAGUCCUUUCUGGGGGGGCUCUAGGGCUCCUCUGCUGCUGUGCUGGGUGGGGAAGCGGCUGCCCUGAGCCCCAGGUCUUGUGGGAGGCUGCGAGGACGAGAGCCUGGCUGGAGCCCGCGUUGCCGUUCCCACAGGGCCUCGGUUUUUCCUAACUUGCUCUGCAUGCUGUCAGCGGCUGCCCUGCCGUCAUAGACUUAAAGGACUGCAAUAAACGUAGAGUUGAUGUCUAACACC
rnacentral:sRNA from 1 species